rnacentral:rRNA from 1 species
ACAAGCGGAGGAGCAUGUGGUUUAAUUCGAUGAUACGCGAGGAACCUUACCUGGGCUCGAACGUAAGAUGACUGUAGGUGAAAGCUUACAUCUCUUCGGAGCAUUUUACGAGGUGCUGCAUGGUUGUCGUCAGCUCGUGCCGUGAGGUGUCGGGUUAAGUCCCAUAACGAGCGCAACCCCUACCUUUAGUUGCCAUCAGGUAAUGCUGGGGACUCUAAAGGAACUGCCUACGCAAGUAGUGAGGAAGGCGGGGAUGACGUCAAAUCAGCACGGCCCUUACGUCCAGGGCUACACACGUGCUACAAUGGCCGAUACAGAGGGCAGCUACCUGGUGACAGGAUGCAAAUCUCCAAAGUCGGUCUCAGUUCGGAUCGGAGUCUGCAACCCGACUCCGUGAAGUUGGAUUCGCUAGUAAUCGCGCACCAGCCAAGCCGCGGUGAAUACGUUCCCGGGCCUU